ACAAGGGGAUAGCCGUUGGAAACGACGAAUAAUACCCUAUGACAUAAACUCUUCGCAUGAGGAGCUUAUCAAAGAUUUAUCGGUGUAAGAUGGACUCGCGUCUGAUUAGCUAGUUGGUGAGGUAACGGCCCACCAAGGCGACGAUCAGUAGCCGGCUUGAGAGAGUGUACGGCCACAUUGGGACUGAGACACGGCCCAGACUCCUACGGGAGGCAGCAGUU
rnacentral:rRNA from 1 species